rnacentral:rRNA from 1 species
GACGAACGCUGGCGGCGUGCCUAAUACAUGCAAGUAGAACGCACAGGAUGCACCGUAGUUUACUACACCGUAUUCUUUGAGUUGCGAACGGGUGAGUAACGCGUAGGUAACCUGCCUGGUAGCGGGGGAUAACUAUUGGAAACGAUAGCUAAUACCGCAUAAGAACAUUUACUGCAUGGUAGAUGUUUAAAAGGUGCAAAUGCAUCACUACCAGAUGGACCUGCGUUGUAUUAGCUAGUAGGUGAGGUAACGGCUCACCUAGGCGACGAUACAUAGCCGACCUGAGAGGGUGAUCGGCCACACUGGGACUGAGACACGGCCCAGACUCCUACGGGAGGCAGCAGUAGGGAAUCUUCGGCAAUGGGGGGAACCCUGACCGAGCAACGCCGCGUGAGUGAAGAAGGUUUUCGGAUCGUAAAGCUCUGUUGUUAAGGAAGAACGAGUGUGAGAAUGGAAAGUUCAUACUGUGACG